rnacentral:rRNA from 1 species
AGUGAACGCUGGCGGUAGGCCUAACACAUGCAAGUCGAACGGCAGCACAGUAAGAGCUUGCUCUUACGGGUGGCGAGUGGCGGACGGGUGAGGAAUACAUCGGAAUCUACUUUUUCGUGGGGGAUAACGUAGGGAAACUUACGCUAAUACCGCAUACGGCCUACGGGUGAAAGCAGGGGAUCUUCGGACCUUGCGCGAUUGAAUGAGCCGAUGUCGGAUUAGCUAGUUGGCGGGGUAAAGGCCCACCAAGGCGACGAUCCGUAGCCGGUCUGAGAGGAUGAUCAGCCACACUGGAACUGAGACACGGUCCAGACUCCUACGGGAGGCAGCAGUGGGGAAUAUUGGACAAUGGGCGCAAGCCUGAUCCAGCCAUACCGCGUGGGUGAAGAAGGCCUUCGGGUUGUAAAGCCCUUUUGUUGGGAAAGAAAAGCAGCAGGUUAAUACCCCGCUGUUCUGACGGUACCCAAAGAAUAAGCACCGGCUAACUUCGUG